CAAAACUACCACCCCGGUGAAGGCCGGGGCCUGGCAUCGGAGCGUCCGGUGACUGGACCCCGGCCUUCACCGGGGUGGUGCGGAAA
rnacentral:pre_miRNA from 1 species